AGAGGGGUUAAUCAUAAGUGGGAUGCUUGUCCAAGUAAGGGCAGUACCCAAGCGUCGGUCCACCCACAUAUCAAAAUAUCAAAGUAACGAACGCGAAUCAUAUAAACAUGAUGAAAACUAGCUUGACAGAAAUUCCCAUGUGUCCUCGGGAGCGUUUUACCUCCUAUAAGACUUUGUCCAGGUUUGUCCCUUGCUACAAAAGGGAUUGGGCCACUUUGCUGCACCGUUGUUACUUUUGUUACUUGUUGCUUGCUACGAAUUAUCUCACCACACAACUACUUGUUACCGAUAAUUUCAGUGCUUGAAGAUAUUACCUUGCUGAAAACCACUUGUCAGAUCCUUCUGCUCCUCGUUGGGUUCGACACUCUUACUUAUCGAAAGGACUACGAUAGAUCCCCUAUACUUGUGGGUCAUCAAGACUCUUUUCUUGCGCCGUUGUCGGGGAGUGAAGCGCCUUUGGUAAGUGGAACUUGGUAAGGAAACAUUUAUAUAAUGUGCUGAAACUUAUUGUCACUUGUCACUAUGGAAACUAAUCCUUUGAGGGGCUUGUUCGGGGUAUCUUCACCUCGAACGGAAGCACAAAGAGUUGCUCCUCAACCUGCUACACCUACUGAAAAUAUUUUCUAUGAAUUUCCUUCGGG
rnacentral:lncRNA from 1 species